AGAUGCGAUCAUACCAGCACUAAAGCACCGGAUUCCAUCAGAACUCCAAAGUUAAGCGUGCUUGGGCGAGAGUAGUAAUAGGAUGGGUGACCUCCUGGGAAGUUCUCGUGUUGCAUUCC
rnacentral:rRNA from 1 species